rnacentral:misc_RNA from 1 species
UAGAAUGAUACUUGCCGGGGGGGCAGUGCUGCGCUUAGUUGCGCGGUGCUACGUCCCGGCGAAACUCACACACUGUGGAGAUUUUUUCUACGCUUUUUUCUUUGGGCAGCCGCCCAGAGGUAACAAACACAAACAAUUAUGCAGUGACCCAGUCAGAAAUCUGUUUAGCUUUUUAAACAACAAAAUUUA